rnacentral:tRNA from 1 species
GCACGGGGAGCGUCGCGGCGCCUGACGCCGCAGCACCCGAGGCUGCUGGACGAGAACGCACGAGGCCCGGACGGUUCGACCGUCCGGGCCUCGUGCGC